UACAGAGGUCUCAAGCGUUGUUCGGAUUCAUUGGGCGUAAAGGGCGCGUAGGCGGCCGUGUAAGUCACUUGUGAAAUCCCGGGGCUCAACUCCGGGGCUGCAGGUGAGACUGCGUGGCUAGAGCUUGGUAGAGGCGAGUGGAAUUCCCGGUGUAGCGGUGGAAUGCGUAGAUAUCGGGAAGAACACCGGUGGCGAAGGCGGCUCGCUGGGCCAAUGCUGACGCUGAGGCGCGAAAGCGUGGGGAGCAAACAGG
rnacentral:rRNA from 1 species